rnacentral:rRNA from 1 species
AUUGAACGCUGGCGGCAGGCCUAACACAUGCAAGUCGAGCGGAUGAAGGGAGCUUGCUCCUGGAUUCAGCGGCGGACGGGUGAGUAAUGCCUAGGAAUCUGCCUGGUAGUGGGGGAUAACGUCCGGAAACGGGCGCUAAUACCGCAUACGUCCUGAGGGAGAAAGUGGGGGAUCUUCGGACCUCACGCUAUCAGAUGAGCCUAGGUCGGAUUAGCUAGUUGGUGGGGUAAAGGCCUACCAAGGCGACGAUCCGUAACUGGUCUGAGAGGAGGAUCAGUCACACUGGAACUGGGACACGGUCCAGACUCCUACGGGAGGCAGCGGUGGGGAAUAUUGGACAAUGGGCGAAAGCCUGAUCCAGCCAUGCCGCGUGUGUGAAGAAGGUCUUCGGAUUGUAAAGCACUUUAAGUUGGGAGGAAGGGCAGUAAGUUAAUACCUUGCUGUUUUGACGUUACCAACAGAAUAAGCACCGGCUAACUUCGUG